GCCUAGGAGAGGGCCAGGGUGGUGGAGCUCUGGAUCCAGGUGGCCAAGGAAGAACUGGACAAAACUUAAAAAGUUGAUGAAAACAAGCCAGCGGGAGAGCAGGAAGCUGCUCAAGGAGGAGGUGAAGAGCUGGC